AACGGGAUUAGAUACCCCGGUAGUCACGCUGUAAACGAUGUCUACUAGCCGUUGGAGGACUUGAUCCUUUAGUGGCGCAGCUAACGCGAUAAGUAGACCGCCUGGGGAGUACGGUCGCAAGAUUAAAACUCAAAUGAAUUGACGGGGGCCCGCACAAGCGGUGGAGCAUGUGGUUUAAUUCGAAGCAACGCGAAGAACCUUACCUACUCUUGACAUCCAGUGAACUUUUGAGAGAUCAAUUGGUGCCUUCGGGAACACUGAGACAGGUGCUGCAUGGCUGUCGUCAGCUCGUGUUGUGAAAUGUUGGGUUAAGUCCCGUAACGAGCGCAACCCUUGUCCUUAGUUACCAUCAUUAAGUUGGGGACUCUAAGGAGACUGCCGGUGACAAACCGGAGGAAGGCGGGGACGACGUCAAGUCAUCAUGGCCCUUACGAGUAGGGCUACACACGUGCUACAAUGGCAUGUACAAAGGGUUGCCAAGCCGCGAGGUGGAGCUAAUCCCAUAAAGCAUGUCGUAGUCCGGAUUGGAGUCUGCAACUCGACUCCAUGAUGUCGGAAUCGCUAGUAAUCGUGAAUCAGAAUGUCACGGUGAAUACGUUCCCGGGCCUUGUACACACCGCCCGUCACACCAUGGGAGUGGGUUGCUCCAGAAGUAGAUAGCUUAACCUUCGGGAGGGCGUUUACCACGGAGUGAUUCAUGACUGGGGUGAAGUCGUAACAAGGUAACCGUA
rnacentral:rRNA from 1 species